rnacentral:rRNA from 1 species
UACGGAGGGGGCGAGCGUUAUUCGGAAUCAUUGGGCGUAAAGCGCACGUAGGCGGAUUUGUAAGUCAGGGGUGAAAUCCCGGGGCUCAACCUCGGAACUGCCUUUGAUACUGCAAAUCUCGAGUCCGGAAGAGGUGAGUGGAAUUCCUAGUGUAGAGGUGAAAUUCGUAGAUAUUAGGAAGAACACCAGUGGCGAAGGCGGCUCACUGGUCCGGUACUGACGCUGAGGUGCGAAAGCGUGGGGAGCAAACAGG